rnacentral:rRNA from 1 species
AUUGAACGCUGGCGGCAGGCCUAACACAUGCAAGUCGAAUGAGUGGCGGACGGGUGAGUAAUGUCUGGGAAACUGCCUGAUGGAGGGGGAUAACUACUGGAAACGGUAGCUAAUACCGCAUACCAUCAGAUGUGCCCAGAUGGGAUUAGCUUGUUGGUGGGGUAACGGCUCAGCAAGGCGACAAUCCCUAGCUGGUCUGAGAGGAUGACCACCCACACUGGCACUAAGACACGGUCCAGCCGCCUACGUGCGGCAGCAGGGUUGAAUAUCGCCCAAUGGGCACAAACCUGAUGCAGCCAUACCGCGUGUAUUAAGAAGGCCUUCGGGUUGUAAAGUACUUUGAGCGGGGAGGCGUUACCCGCAGGAGAAGCACCGACUAACUCCAUGCCAGAAACCGCGGUGAUUC